rnacentral:lncRNA from 1 species
GUUUAUUGGAAUGAAGCUGGCCACCCUGGCUUCAUUAUAGGAAAGGUAUUCACAGUUUGGUUUCCGUCCUUUUGCAGCUGCAUUCAAACGCUUUGUGCGACUGUUUAAAUUUUUAGCAGCUCUUAAGUGGAUAGAAGGUAUGCAGACUUCAAGUCUGUGAGUUCAAGAGAUGCAUUGAUUUAUUUCAGCAAUUUGGAUUUGGAAUUUAAUUUCCAUCUUCUUUGUUCCUUCCGCUUUGUUCUCUCCCUACUUUCUUUCUCCCUCUCUGUCAAACACACACACACACCCCCUCCCUCUUGCAGCUAAGGCACUCACAGGAAAAUAAGCUUGAAACAAGCUUUGAGACUUUGAAGAUAACCCCCAUGGUGUGAUGCUGGUAAGGUGCUUUGGUCCAUGGCAGCUGCUAUGCAGUAACUGCGUAACAGGACAUUUGCACCACUCCAGCAAAGUGUGGACAGCCAAAAGAGAAAAAUAGUAUUUGCUUCUGCAGACUAGAAGACCUUAACAAUAGAAAACCUCAGCUUUUGUUAUUUUAUCAAUGAAAUAAUAGAAUCAAAACUUUCUUAACCUCCUCUGAGUGGUGUUUCUGGCCUGGUAGCUCCACUGAGCUCUGUGCAUCAAAGGCUUCCUGGCAGAGAAACUGGGCCUGGCAGGCAUAACCGCCUGAUGCCUGGCAUGUUGAAGGGGCUCAUGGUGGACAUUGAUAAUGUUCAGGCUGCCAGCUUCCGUCUUGCCUCCCUAACAGUACCCUGAAUUGACUGGGGAAAUAAAAUCGCCUCCAUUGUAAUGGAGACUUGGUCGGAGGAACUGGAUCUUUCCUGCCUCACUUUCUGAUUCAGAACAGAGGGAGAAGACACAGAGCUAACUUGAGCCACGCUGUGUGUUCUCCAGUGACUUUGGACUUGCUUGAGGACCCAGCGAUGGAUGACUGGCAGAGGCCCCUCACCAUGUCAGGGGGUGACCUGUGGUCCUGAUGAGUUCCUCUGUGAGCCAGGUGCUUCACUUUCUGCCUUUUGUUUCGCUGGAUCUCUCUUGGUACCUGCUUCUCCCAGCCUGGCUUCCAACAUUUUAGCAAUUUUAUGAGUCCUGAAAUAGCAUUUCAGUAAUUUCCCUUUUGCUUAAGUUAUCUAGAGCCCUUUUCUGUUGGUUGCUAUUGAAGACCUCAACUGAGAUAGCACAAUAACUGUUCCUAGAGCGAAUGAAUUAAUGGAAUGACGAUAAGCCCAGAUUAUAUUUCAAGGCUUUUGCGAUUUUUCCCCUUCUUUUGUCAUAGAGAAUUGAAUCUCAUCUGAAGAUGAAUUUUCUUGGAAUUUGGAAAAAUAUUGAAGUUUUAUACAAUUUUCCUUUCAGAGGCAAAGCUAUUUUCAAAAAAACAAUUGAACCUAAUUUUAAAUAUAGGUUUAUUAUAUGGUAGUUAGAAAAUAAAGAUAAAAUAUUCAUAACCAUCUUUCUCUAUAGUAAAUAUCAGUUGACAAAAUCGUGUUUGAUAAGUGAAUGUAAGGUGGUAGAAAUAAUAAUCUCCCUUUCCAUUGGGGCUGUUUUCAGCUCUUCAGUCUUACAGCGGAUCCUGGGAGCUCCUCUGUGGCUCAGGGGGAUAAGGACCCAGCGUUGUCACUACUGUGGCCUGGGUGACUGAUGUGGUGCACGUUUGGGCCCUGGCCCUGGAAUUUCUGUAUGCCACGGGCACAG